rnacentral:lncRNA from 1 species
UGUGGGUGUCUGCUUCUGCUUCCAUCAGCUACUGGAUGAAGGCUCUAGGAUGGCAUAUAAGGAUACUGCCCAUGUGAGUUCCUGUUGCCUGCAAGAUCAAGGACCCUCAGCUCCAGCACCACAUCUGCCUGCAUGCUGCCAUGCUCCCAUCAUAAUGAUAAUGGACUGAACCUCUGAAACUCCCGCAGACAUUACACCCCCAGUUAUCGGAGACCUCAAGGCACAAAGAAAAAGCAGAAUGUCAUCAUGGGAAUAACCACUUCGAGACAUUAUCAUCUACAGUUAAACAUGCCAGCCUCAGACUUCCUGUGGUACCACCCACCAUUCCCACAAUUCAGCCAAACUGACUCAUUCAUAACUUCGAAACACAUCAGAAUAAAUUAAUGAGUCAUUAAUAAGAAAGGGGCAAAAGAUCACUCUCUAAUGAGAGCCCAUGUCAUAAGGACAAAUAGAUAUCUGGUGGAGAGGAUCAUGGGACUGCUAACUUAUAAAUGAGUGAGCAAGGAAGCACAUGCUACUUCCAGAUGACUACAGGUUUGGCCAGCAGCUUUAUUGGAGCCUCCAGCCAGAGGCACUUACUCACUGAAGCCACUUCCAGAUACUUAACCUUCAGAAACUCCAUGGCUUCUUGAUUUAAGACGCUAAGUAUUGGAACAGUUCAACAUGCAGAAGAGAUAAGAAAUACAUUCUGGAUCUAAGUCCUUAUAAUACUAGCUUUGCAAAAAUGUACCCUUCUUGUCUCUAUAUUUUCUUAAUCUUACCUUUUGAAAAUGAAGUGUUAAAUUUGAGUGGAGUCAAGGCAUUUGGAUCCAUGUCUAAGAACUCUCUGCUUUAGAAAAUUGUUUAGCCUGUUCUUUUCUUCUACAAAUACUUAGUUUUAAUUUUUUAGAUGC